GGCGGCGUGCCUAAUACAUGCAAGUCGAACGAGUUCUGAUUAUUGAAAGGUGCUUGCAUCUUGAUUUAAUUUUGAACGAGUGGCGGACGGGUGAGUAACACGUGGGUAACCUGCCCUUAAGUGGGGGAUAACAUUUGGAAACAGAUGCUAAUACCGCAUAAAUCCAAGAACCGCAUGGUUCUUGGCUGAAAGAUGGCGUAAGCUAUCGCUUUUGGAUGGACCCGCGGCGUAUUAGCUAGUUGGUGAGGUAACGGCUCACCAAGGCAAUGAUACGUAGCCGAACUGAGAGGUUGAUCGGCCACAUUGGGACUGAGACACGGCCCAAACUCCUACGGGAGGCAGCAGUAGGGAAUCUUCCACAAUGGACGCAAGUCUGAUGGAGCAACGCCGCGUGAGUGAAGAAGGCUUUCGGGUCGUAAAACUCUGUUGUUGGAGAAGAAUGGUCGGCAGAGUAACUGUUGUCGGCGUGACGGUAUCCAACCAGAAAGCCACGGCUAACUACGUGCCAGCAGCCGCGGUAAUACGUAGGUGGCAAGCGUUAUCCGGAUUUAUUGGGCGUAAAGCGAGCGCAGGCGGUUUUUUAAGUCUGAUGUGAAAGCCCUCGGCUUAACCGAGGAAGUGCAUCGGAAACUGGGAAACUUGAGUGCAGAAGAGGACAGUGGAACUCCAUGUGUAGCGGUGAAAUGCGUAGAUAUAUGGAAGAACACCAGUGGCGAAGGCGGCUGUCUGGUCUGUAACUGACGCUGAGGCUCGAAAGCAUGGGUAGCGAACAGGAUUAGAUACCCUGGUAGUCCAUGCCGUAAACGAUGAAUGCUAGGUGUUGGAGGGUUUCCGCCCUUCAGUGCCGCAGCUAACGCAUUAAGCAUUCCGCCUGGGGAGUACGACCGCAAGGUUGAAACUCAAAGGAAUUGACGGGGGCCCGCACAAGCGGUGGAGCAUGUGGUUUAAUUCGAAGCAACGCGAAGAACCUUACCAGGUCUUGGACAUCUUUUGAUCACCUGAGAGAUCAGGUUUCCCCUUCGGGGGGCAAAAUGACAGGUGGUGCAUGGUUGUCGUCAGCUCGUGUCGUGAGAUGUUGGGUUAAGUCCCCGCAACGAGCGCAACCCUUAUGACUAGUUGCCAGCAUUUAGUUGGGCACUCUAGUAAGACUGCCGGUGACAAACCGGAGGAAGGUGGGGAUGACGUCAAAUCAUCAUGCCCCUUAUGACCUGGGCUACACACGUGCUACAAUGGAUGGUACAACGAGUUGCGAGACCGCGAGGUCAAGCUAAUCUCUUAAAGCCAUUCUCAGUUCGGACUGUAGGCUGCAACUCGCCUACACGAAGUCGGAAUCGCUAGUAAUCGCGGAUCAGCACGCCGCGGUGAAUACGUUCCCGGGCCUUGUACACACCGCCCGUCACACCAUGAGAGUUUGUAACACCCGAAGCCGGUGGCGUAACCCUUUUAGGGAGCGAGCCGUCUAAGGUGGGACAAAUGAUUAGGGUGAAGUC
rnacentral:rRNA from 1 species